rnacentral:tRNA from 11 species
GCGGGAGUAGCUCAAUGGUAGAGUAGCGGCUUCCCAAGCCGUUGGUUGCGGGUUCGAUCCCCGUCUCCCGCUCCA